rnacentral:rRNA from 1 species
CAAGGCUUGACAUAUACGAGAACGGGCUAGAAAUAGUCAACUCUUUGGACACUCGUAAACAGGUGGUGCAUGGUUGUCGUCAGCUCGUGUCGUGAGAUGUUGGGUUAAGUCCCGCAACGAGCGCAACCCUCGUUCUAUGUUGCCAGCACGUAAUGGUGGGAACUCAUGGGAUACUGCCGGGGUCAACUCGGAGGAAGGUGGGGAUGACGUCAAAUCAUCAUGCCCCUUAUGUCUUGGGCUUCACGCAUGCUACAAUGGCCGGUACAAAGGGCUGCAAUACCGUAAGGUGGAGCGAAUCCCAAAAAGCCGGUCCCAGUUCGGAUUGAGGUCUGCAACUCGACCUCAUGAAGUCGGAGUCGCUAGUAAUCGCAGAUCAGCAACGCUGCGGUGAAUACGUUCCC